GUGGGGAAUAUUGGACAAUGGGCGCAAGCCUGAUCCAGCAAUGCCGCGUGAGUGAUGAAGGCCUUAGGGUUGUAAAGCUCUUUUACCCGGGAAGAUAAUGACUGUACCGGGAGAAUAAGCCCCGGCUAACUCCGUGCCAGCAGCCGCGGUAAUACGGAGGGGGCUAGCGUUGUUCGGAAUUACUGGGCGUAAAGCGUACGUAGGCGGUUUUGUAAGUUAGAGGUGAAAGCACGGAGCUCAACUCCGGAACUGCCUUUAAGACUGCAUCACUUGAACGUCGGAGAGGUGAGUGGAAUUCCGAGUGUAGAGGUGAAAUUCGUAGAUAUUCGGAAGAACACCAGUGGCGAAGGCGGCUCACUGGACGACUGUUGACGCUGAGGUACGAAAGCGUGGGGAGCAAACAGGAUUAGAUACCCGAGUAGUCC
rnacentral:rRNA from 1 species